rnacentral:lncRNA from 1 species
GAAGUUCUCGAACUGAACUUGAAUUUAUUUGUCGUCCAUUAUUGGUUUUAUGUACUUCACCCAUGCAAAUACUUCUUGGUUCUAAGAAUAAUUAUUUGGAAAACGUAAAAGAAAGAAAUCGUGCGCGUGAGAUCCAUUCGCGGCGAUUUCUUUCUCCCUUCUCUUUCUUCUUCUGAGCACAACUUUUUGCUUUUCCGAUGGGUCAUUCGUCGAUUCCGGCGACGAUGAGGACUCUAUGGCUCAUGGUUCUUCAACUUCGCAAUCUGCUGCAUCUUCUAAGCUUCACAAACGAAUCAAAAUCAAGGGAGAAGCGAAGAGGGAUAGCUUCUGCGAGACACCGUCGAUGACUCCACCGGUGGUGUAGCGCCGCAGAAUGGAAGAGGAAGUCUUCACGGCGAAGCAUGAGAGAGAAGACGGUUAGGUCUGGAACCGGAGAUUCUGGAGGCUUCAUUAGGCCGCCGCUUGAUGGGGGAGGUUGACUCCGGUCGGGUGGAGCUAAGCCACUGUUGACGGUUCCUAGAUCUACUCCCUACCGCCUUUCAAUCUCACGUCGGAGCUUGAAGCUUUCUCGACACCAACAGCUCGGUUUCUUCCUCUUCCUCAAAGUUUCUCUACGGUGGCGGAGAGGCAAACGGAUCUUGGAUCACCUCCUCCGUUCGAUCCGCGUCGUCCAGGUACACCGGAGGUCCGGUCGGUGUGCAUCCGCAGUUGUGGACGGCGGCUGCGACGCGUUUUGCGUUGUAGAUUAGGGUUUCUGUGGGUACCGGUUAAUUUUGGUACUCCAAAACCGGAUCGGUUUUGUUUCAGUUUGGUUUAGUUUGGUUAGAUGUCGGAUUGGGCCCUAUGGGUUAUUGUAUGGGCUUAUUCCGGAAAUAUGUAAGCCCAUUGGGCAUUAUUAUUUAAAUUGCAAGCCUUUUUCAGAAAAAAAAUACUUCUUGGUUCUAUAAUAGAUGAUAUUUAGAACAAUGCACACAACUGAAAA